rnacentral:rRNA from 1 species
UACGGAGGGUGCAAGCGUUAUCCGGAUUUAUUGGGUUUAAAGGGUCCGUAGGCGGACUCGUAAGUCAGUGGUGAAGUCUCAUAGCUUAACUAUGAAACUGCCAAUGAUACUGCGGGUCUUGAGUAAAGUAGAAGUGGCUGGAAUAAGUAGUGUAGCGGUGAAAUGCAUAGAUAUUACUUAGAACACCAAUUGCGAAGGCAGGUCACUAUGUUUUAACUGACGCUGAUGGACGAAAGCGUGGGGAGCGAACAGG